UUAUUUAGUAUCCUUGAACUAUCAAUAGUUUUUUAAAAAUCCUUCUUCAAACUUGUUUCCGUUUCGGCAGAAACCCACCGCCUACGAGCACCUUUGCCCAACCGAACUCCAGCCAUACACCACUGUAACCAUCGCCAUGCUUUGAUUAUACUCGUCGCAGCCGUGAAGCGUCGCUACCUUGGUGAAUAUCGUCGUCGUACAACUACCGUAGUCGCCGCCACCAAACUACCCGCCACUCGUAUUCCGUACGGUUCAGUCUGAUUCACGCCACUGGGAGUUACUCGUGUUUCACCGAUCUUGCCUCACUUUCGGAUAUGUUUCUGUUCGACUAUUAAGAUUCCGGUCAUCUAGGGUUUCCUCCGCAACUGGUGAUGAUGGUUGAUGAUAACAGAGAUAACAAUGAAGCCCUCAAUGAUUUCUUCUACUUCUAAAAAUUGGCUCCAGAUUUCUGAUCCCUUUCGUUCACACUCCGUCACGUCUAUUUCGAGUUUAGGGUUUUGAGGCAUUUUUUAUAGAGGAUUUCUAUUCAGGUGUGCCUAUGCGUGUAAUAAAUAGACCUGGUAUCAAUUGCUGGGAGCCAAUGGCCGUGAUGAUGGUUCUAUUGUAAGUUAAACUUAUGUAAUUAACAGUUGAUGAUGAGCUGUGUUGAAUGUUCUAAUGGUAUUUUAUAGCAUUUUGUGAUUUGAGAGUUUCUUAUCAACUGAUCUGGAACAACAAUAUGCUAAACAGGUUAAUAUUUGACAAUUUAAUUGAGGUAUUCUUUGCUUUUGAUUGUUGUUUGUACGCAUAUAGUUAUCGAAUAUGAUUUUUGCAAUUUUCUGUAGAUUUACGUGUUUGAAAGUACCAAAGGAACAAAAAUUUUCAAAAAUUACUAGGGAUUUGAUUUUUCAUUUGCCAUGUGAUGUGGAAUCAAGGUUAGGUAUCGGUGGAAUUGAAGAAACAAAUAUGAUUUAGGUUUAAUUAAGGGUGUGUUUAUAGGUAUGGAUAUUACAAUCUUAGGAAAUUAAAAGGUGUUACAGAUCUAAGCAAAAGAGCAAAGAUCCCUUGGAAGGAUUUUCUAUCAAUUUUGGAUGCAUUCGCACAUGUUUUACAAAAUAAAUUAGGGGAAAACCUAUAUAUUUAAUUCAAGGAACUUUGUAUACAGAUGUAUUACAUCUUGCCCUCCACCUGUAAGUGGAAGAACUCAUUCUCACACAAUUACAAGCCAUCAUAACGUAGGCGGGCCUCCCAAAAAUAUGAAAUUGAAGCUAACUGAACCACUUAAGCUUAUAUUCAAGUAGAGGUUUGCAUAAAAAUUGAAUAUAUUUUUUAAAAUACUUUUUACUUUGAGCCAUUGUAAUGACAAUUCUAUGUAGUUUUGUUCAUAAAAACUGAAUCUAUAUAAAAGAAAAUAGUGUGACCCAUAUAGUGACUUAGUGAGAGUUUGGGAUGAUUACUUCCGGUGACACGUUUGAAGCGAAAUUCACUUUUAGGCCCCGACAUUGCUAUGAGGAUCCUUGGUGAUGUUACUUAAGGAAAUGCAUUGGAUGUCCUUCGCCAGACUCUUGAUGAAGUUGUUCAAACUUAUCAUGGGAAGACAAAAAGAACCCUGGUGAAUCACGGUUCCUUGCUCAGGUGCGAUUUGACUUUUUGUUUGUGAUUGCAACAAAGGAAACUGGAUAGUUUCUCCUUCUGUUAUGUUCCCGAAGAACAACUACUAGAAUUGCUACAUGAUGAAGAUGGUCUUGUGGGAUCCAUUUUGGGGGCUGUUGAAGUACCGAAAGAAGAUGGUUUGGAACUUAACACACCCCUUCGAGGACCAAUCACUCCUGUUACCAUUGAUCAUUUUGUGAUUGUUGAUGAAGUUGUACAAACUUAUCAUGGGAAGACAAAAAGAACCUUGGUGAAUCACGGUCAUGAUUGGGUACAACUACUUUGAGUUUAUCGACGGGCUAACCUAUCUUGUGAACAACAAUUAUAUCCCAGUGAGUCGGAUUGAUGAUGCAGUUAAAAGAAUUUUACGGGUGAAGUUUGUGAUGGGCUGUUUGAAAAUCCAUUAACUGAUUUAAGCAUGGGAAAUACCUUGGAGAACAGGUUAAGACCCAGAACCGGGUAUCAAAAGGCGGGGCAGGUUUCGAACCGAAUCGGUUAUAGAAAAACCAUUUUUUAAAGUAACCGUUUUAGUUUUUUUUUUUUUUUUUUUUUUUUUUUUUUUUUUUGGAAUUUUAGGUUUUAUAACCGGUUUUUUGUACACCUCUAUCUGGAGCUGGAAGCAAAAUCCUGGGGAUAGAGUCGAAGGAACGGAUUGUGAUAUGCUUUUUGGUAUUUCGGGAUCUCAUUUAGUUUCUAAUUCAUGAGAUUAGUGGUCUUGGCUUCUUGAUGAUUCGGGUACGUUUUUGGUCCGCAUCUUAAAACAAUGAUUUGUACUAAAAAGGUUUGGGCAGCCGGGUAAUGCUAUUCAUUGGAACAAAUGGGUUCCUAUGAAAGUGGGCAUUUUGUCAUGGAGGGAAAAGGCUUCCAAGGAGGUGUGCUUUAGCAUGUCGAAACAUUAAUCUGGCUUCCACGAUCUGCCCUGUGUGUAGUGAAGCAUCGGAGAUGGCUGAGCUUAUCUAUAUAACUAUAUAAAGCCCUGUGUGGAAGUGGCGGCUCGGUUGUCAUGGUGGUUGUGUUGGAUAGUGGUGGUGUCAGUGGCGGUUGGUUGUGGUGCUGGUGGUGAAGGCAACAACAGUGGAUUGAACACUGGCGACGAUGGCAAAAAAGGGUUCUGGCGGGUAUUUUGGUUACCAGGAAAUUUGGCACGAUCUGAUCUUGAUUUUUAGACCGAAAUCGAAGCUACACGCCCUCUGGAAUCACCCUGUUAGCCAUAAAACCAAAGUUGCAAGUGAUCGGAACCUCACACACACUGUUUUCACAGUGUUAUCACGGUCAAUCCCUGAUGCUGCUAGACCGGUACAUGAUGCAAUCUAUGGCGCUGUUGACGUUUACUUGAAAGAACACCCGACGUUAACUGAAGUCGAAAGGAAGAAAGUUUGUGAGUUAAUUGAUGUGAAAAAGUUGUCAGCAGACGCGUCCAUACACGCUGCACAGAACGAUCGGCUUCUGCUGCGAAUGGUGGUGCAGAUCCUGUUUCACGAGCAGGUUCAAGCCACUGCUGUGAUCAAAGAGGCAGCACGUGGCAACCGGGCGCUGGAACAAGACUGGGAGAUUAAAAUGCCGCUGCGUUCUAAGUAGCUAAGAACACCUUCAUGGAUGAGGUUUACGGAUGGGGAUGUCAAGGAGGUGUCGAGUGGUGGUAGCAUGCGAUUGCUGCCAUCGAGUUCACGGAGGUUUUUGGAUAGGUUUUGGGUGGUGGGGAUGGGUCAGCGGCACGGAGAGACCAGGACGUCUGGUAGUUCGCAAUCUAAAUUUUCGAGUUCAUCGUCAAGGAAACAGAGAAACAAUAAUUUUCUGGAUAUGGAGGGUGAUACAUAGAGUCUUCGCAAAAGAGUGGAUAAUCUUAAGAAUUUAUAAAGGGGGUUGAUACUGAUGAUGGCUUUGACUUUAUUAGGAGAACGCUUGAGGAGCACUUUGGGCAAUGCGAAGAGAUUUCAAGCAUGUCUAUUCUUAAAGAUUUUGAAUUUGGUAGUUCUAAAGGGUAGGCUUUUUAUUCUCCUCCGCAAACGUGCGUUCAUCGCUGGCAUGCACUAAUACAUCAUCUACAACAAUUAUUCUGGCGAGAAUAUUGUCUUGUGACUAUAGGUUUGGGAUGUAGCAACUGGUACAAAGGAAUACACUUUUGAAGGUGAUAAUAAUGCUCCCGUUUAUUCCGUAUACCCUCACUUCAAGGAAAACAUUCAGGUAAACUGGUCGGAUGAGUGGAGCGGGGUCAAGCGGAUUGGAAGUCGCCUAAAGUGUGAAACUGUAUAAAAUCAAGUUUAGAGGGAUUUGAAUAAUUUUCUGUUUGUUUCGUCCAAUGUAUGCGUUUGUACAGAAUAUUACAGUUCAAAGUAAAUAAUAUGGUUUUGGUUGAA